AGCCCCGUAGUGUAGUGGUAACACGCCAGCCUUUGAAGCUGAAAUCUCUGGUUCGAACCCAGGCGGGGCUGCCA
rnacentral:tRNA from 1 species